UUAAGCGACUAAGCGUACACGGUGGAUGCCCUGGCAGUCAGAGGCGAUGAAGGACGUGCUAAUCUGCGAAAAGCGUCGGUAAGGUGAUAUGAACCGUUAUAACCGGCGAUGUCCGAAUGGGGAAACCCAGUGCAAUUCGUUGCACUAUCGUUAACUGAAUACAUAGGUUAACGAGGCGAACCGGGGGAACUGAAACAUCUAAGUACCCCGAGGAAAAGAAAUCAACCGAGAUUCCCCCAGUAGCGGCGAGCGAACGGGGAGCAGCCCAGAGUCUGAAUCAGCUUGUGUGUUAGUGGAACGGUCUGGAAAGUCCGACGGUACAGGGUGAUAGUCCCGUACACCAAAAUGCACAGGUUGUGAACUCGAAGAGUAGGGCGGGACACGUGGUAUCCUGUCUGAAUAUGGGGGGACCAUCCUCCAAGGCUAAAUACUCCUGACUGACCGAUAGUGAACCAGUACCGUGAGGGAAAGGCGAAAAGAACCCCGGCGAGGGGAGUGAAAAAGAACCUGAAACCGUGUACGUACAAGCAGUGGGAGCACCUUCGGGUGUGACUGCGUACCUUUUGUAUAAUGGGUCAGCGACUUAUAUUCUGUAGCAAGGUUAACCGUAUAGGGGAGCCGCAGGGAAACCGAGUCUUAACUGGGCGUUAAGUUGCAGGGUAUAGACCCGAAACCCGGUGAUCUAGCCAUGGGCAGGUUGAAGGUUGGGUAACACUAACUGGAGGACCGAACCGACUAAUGUUGAAAAAUUAGCGGAUGACUUGUGGCUGGGGGUGAAAGGCCAAUCAAACCGGGAGAUAGCUGGUUCUCCCCGAAAGCUAUUUAGGUAGCGCCUCGUGAAUUCAUCUUCGGGGGUAGAGCACUGUUUCGGCUAGGGGGUCAUCCCGACUUACCAACCCGAUGCAAACUACGAAUACCGAAGAAUGUUAUCACGGGAGACACACGGCGGGUGCUAACGUCCGUCGUGAAGAGGGAAACAACCCAGACCGCCAGCUAAGGUCCCAAAGUCAUGGUUAAGUGGGAAACGAUGUGGGAAGGCACAGACAGCCAGGAUGUUGGCUUAGAAGCAGCCAUCAUUUAAAGAAAGCGUAAUAGCUCACUGGUCGAGUCGGCCUGCGCGGAAGAUGUAACGGGGCUAAACCAUGCACCGAAGCUGCGGCAGCGACACUAUGUGUUGUUGGGUAGGGGAGCGUUCUGUAAGCCUGCGAAGGUGACCUGUGAGGGUUGCUGGAGGUAUCAGAAGUGCGAAUGCUGACAUAAGUAACGAUAAAGCGGGUGAAAAGCCCGCUCGCCGGAAGACCAAGGGUUCCUGUCCAACGUUAAUCGGGGCAGGGUGAGUCGACCCCUAAGGCGAGGCCGAAAGGCGUAGUCGAUGGGAAACAGGUUAAUAUUCCUGUACUUGGUGUUACUGCGAAGGGGGGACGGAGAAGGCUAUGUUAGCCGGGCGACGGUUGUCCCGGUUUAAGCAUGUAGGCUGGUUGUCCAGGCAAAUCCGGAUAAUCAAGGCUGAGGUGUGAUGACGAGGCACUACGGUGCUGAAGUAACAAAUGCCCUGCUUCCAGGAAAAGCCUCUAAGCAUCAGGUAACAUUAAAUCGUACCCCAAACCGACACAGGUGGUCAGGUAGAGAAUACCAAGGCGCUUGAGAGAACUCGGGUGAAGGAACUAGGCAAAAUGGUGCCGUAACUUCGGGAGAAGGCACGCUGGUGUGUAGGUGAAGCCCCUGCGGGUGGAGCUGAGACCAGUCGAAGAUACCAGCUGGCUGCAACUGUUUAUUAAAAACACAGCACUGUGCAAACACGAAAGUGGACGUAUACGGUGUGACGCCUGCCCGGUGCCGGAAGGUUAAUUGAUGGGGUUAUCCGUAAGGAGAAGCUCUUGAUCGAAGCCCCGGUAAACGGCGGCCGUAACUAUAACGGUCCUAAGGUAGCGAAAUUCCUUGUCGGGUAAGUUCCGACCUGCACGAAUGGCGUAAUGAUGGCCAGGCUGUCUCCACCCGAGACUCAGUGAAAUUGAACUCGCUGUGAAGAUGCAGUGUACCCGCGGCAAGACGGAAAGACCCCGUGAACCUUUACUAUAGCUUGACACUGAACAUUGAGCCUUGAUGUGUAGGAUAGGUGGGAGGCUUUGAAGCGUGGACGCCAGUCUGCGUGGAGCCAACCUUGAAAUACCACCCUUUAAUGUUUGAUGUUCUAACGUUGGCCCCUGACCGGGGUUGCGGACAGUGUCUGGUGGGUAGUUUGACUGGGGCGGUCUCCUCCCAAAGCGUAACGGAGGAGCACGAAGGUUAGCUAAUCCUGGUCGGACAUCAGGAGGUUAGUGCAAUGGCAUAAGCUAGCUUGACUGCGAGCGUGACGGCGCGAGCAGGUGCGAAAGCAGGUCAUAGUGAUCCGGUGGUUCUGAAUGGAAGGGCCAUCGCUCAACGGAUAAAAGGUACUCCGGGGAUAACAGGCUGAUACCGCCCAAGAGUUCAUAUCGACGGCGGUGUUUGGCACCUCGAUGUCGGCUCAUCACAUCCUGGGGCUGAAGUAGGUCCCAAGGGUAUGGCUGUUCGCCAUUUAAAGUGGUACGCGAGCUGGGUUUAGAACGUCGUGAGACAGUUCGGUCCCUAUCUGCCGUGGGCGCUGGAGAAUUGAGGGGGGCUGCUCCUAGUACGAGAGGACCGGAGUGGACGCAUCACUGGUGUUCGGGUUGUCAUGCCAAUGGCACUGCCCGGUAGCUAAAUGCGGAAGAGAUAAGUGCUGAAAGCAUCUAAGCACGAAACUUGCCCCGAGAUGAGUUCUCCCUGAGACUUUAAGUCUCCUGAAGGAACGUUGAAGACGACGACGUUGAUAGGCCGGGUGUGUAAGCGCAGCGAUGCGUUGAGCUAACCGGUACUAAUGAACCGUGAGGCUUAACCUU
rnacentral:rRNA from 1 species